CGCGCAGGCGGCUAAGUGUGUCUGGUGUGAAAUCCCUCGGCCCAACCGAGGAAUUGCACUGGAAACUGCUUGGCUUGAGGGCAGGAGAGGAGAGUGGAACUCCAGGUGUAGCGGUGAAAUGCGUAGAUAUCUGGAGGAACGCCGGAGGCGAAAGCGACUCUCUGGACUGUCCCUGACGCUGAGGCGCGAAAGCCAGGGGAGAGAACAGGAUUAGAUACCCUGGUAGUCC
rnacentral:rRNA from 1 species